GCUUAUGCCCAUACCACCCUGAGAACGCCCGAUCUCGUCUGAUCUCGGAAGUUAAGCAGGGUCGGGCCUGGUUAGUACUUGGAUGGGAGACCGCCUGGGAAUACCAGGUGUUGUAAGCU
rnacentral:rRNA from 1 species